rnacentral:rRNA from 1 species
GAUGAACGCUGGCGGCGUGCCUAAUACAUGCAAGUCGAGCGAACGGACGAGAAGCUUGCUUCUCUGAUGUUAGCGGCGGACGGGCGAGUAACACGUGGAUAACCUACCUAUAAGACUGGGAUAACUUCGGGAAACCGGAGCUAAUACCGGAUAAUAUUUUGAACCGCAUGGUUCAAAAGUGAAAGACGGUCUUGCUGUCACUUAUAGAUGGAUCCGCGCUGCAUUAGCUAGUUGGUAAGGUAACGGCUUACCAAGGCAACGAUGCAUAGCCGACCUGAGAGGGUGAUCGGCCACACUGGAACUGAGACACGGUCCAGACUCCUACGGGAGGCAGCAGUAGAGAAUCUUCCGCAAUGGGCGAAAGCCUGACGGAGCAACGCCGCGUGAGUGAUGAAGGUCUUCGGAUCGUAAAACUCUGUUAUUAGGGAAGAACAUAUGUGUAAGUAACUGUGCACAUCUUGACGGUACCUAAUCAGAAAGCCACGGCUAACUACGUG